rnacentral:rRNA from 1 species
GACGAACGCUGGCGGCGUGCUUAACACAUGCAAGUCGAGCGGUAAGGCCCCUUCGGGGGUACACGAGCGGCGAACGGGUGAGUAACACGUGGGUGACCUGCCCUCAGCUCUGGGAUAAGCCUGGGAAACUGGGUCUAAUACUGGAUAUGACUCCACGGUGCAUGUCGUGGGGUGGAAAGCCUUGUGCGGCUGAGGAUGGGCCCGCGGCCUAUCAGCUUGUUGGUGGGGUGAUGGCCUACCAAGGCGACGACGGGUAGCCGGCCUGAGAGGGCGACCGGCCACACUGGGACUGAGACACGGCCCAGACUCCUACGGGAGGCAGCAGUGGGGAAUCUUGCGCAAUGGGCGAAAGCCUGACGCAGCGACGCCGCGUGAGGGAUGACGGCCU